rnacentral:sRNA from 1 species
GGUGGAUCCCGAAUAAGUUGCUGUGCAUAAGUUAACCAUGCAGCUCUUGGCAGCUGGUGUGGGGACUCAAACCCGGGAUUAGGGACUGGAAUGGAGCAGCUCAUCGCUCCCUACAUUAACCGACCUGGGAAAUGCUUGUCUGACCCUGUGUGUCGGAAACAGGGCACAUUGCUGUAGCAAAGUGGUGAAGAUAAGAUUGGUGACCAGUGUUCCAUUCUGCUCUCCUGACCCAUUUCCUCUGGUUAAGCAUGCCUGGAGAAGAGGAGAGCUUGGCAGGGAAGAAUGGGGGUUCCACGCAGUCACAUGUGACUCCUGACAUUCCUGCAGCAAAGAGCUCCUGGGAAGGUGCUGCUGGAUGCAGUUUGCAACCACCUCAACCUCGUGGAAGGUGACUAUUUUGGCCUCGAGUUUCCUGAUCACAAAAAGAUCACGGUGUGGCUGGAUCUCCUAAAACCCAUUGUGAAACAGAUUAGAAGGCCAAAGCAUGUUGUUGUUAAGUUUGUGGUGAAAUUCUUUCCGCCUGACCACACACAACUCCAAGAAGAACUCACAAGGUACCUGUUCGCGCUGCAGGUGAAGCAGGACUUGGCUCAAGGCAGGUUGACGUGUAAUGACACCAGCGCAGCUCUCUUGAUUUCACACAUUGUGCAAUCUGAGAUUGGGGAUUUUGAUGAAGCCUUGGACAGAGAGCACUUAGCAAAAAAUAAAUACAUACCUCAGCAAGACGCACUAGAGGACAAAAUCGUGGAAUUUCACCAUAACCACAUUGGACAAACACCAGCAGAAUCAGAUUUCCAGCUCCUAGAGAUUGCCCGUCGGCUAGAGAUGUAUGGAAUCCGGUUGCACCCGGCCAAGGACAGGGAAGGC